UACGUAGGGUGCAAGCGUUAAUCGGAAUGACUGGGCGUAAAGGGUGCGCAGGCGGUUUUUUAAGUCAGAUGUGAAAUCCCUGGGCUUAACCUAGGAAUGGCAUUUGAGACUGGGGAACUAGAGUGUAUCAGAGGGGGGUGGAACUCCACGUGUAGCAGUGAAAUGCGUAGAGAUGUGGAAGAACACCGAUGGCGAAGGCAGCCCCCUGGGAAGACACUGACGCUCAGGCACGAAAGCGUGGGGAGCAAACAGG
rnacentral:rRNA from 1 species